GACGAACGCUGGCGGCGUGCUUAACACAUGCAAGUCGAACGGAAAGACCCUGCUUUUGUGGGGUGCUCGAGUGGCGAACGGGUGAGUAACACGUGAGUAACCUGCCCUUGACUUUGGGAUAACUUCAGGAAACUGGGGCUAAUACCGGAUAGGAGCUCCUGCUGCAUGGUGGGGGUUGGAAAGUUUCGGCGGUUGGGGAUGGACUCGCGGCUUAUCAGCUUGAUGGUGGGGUAGUGGCUUACCAAGGCUUUGACGGGUAGCCGGCCUGAGAGGGUGACCGGCCACAUUGGGACUGAGAUACGGCCCAGACUCCUACGGGAGGCAGCAGUGGGGAAUAUUGCACAAUGGGCGGAAGCCUGAUGCAGCAACGCCGCGUGCGGGAUGACGGCCUUCGGGUUGUAAACCGCUUUCGCCUGUGACGAAGCGUGAGUGACGGUAAUGGGUAAAGAAGCACCGGCUAACUACGUG
rnacentral:rRNA from 1 species